rnacentral:lncRNA from 1 species
UUGCCUGCUAAGCUUUCCUACGUGACUCAUUUGCUUCACCUAACCGGCAGAGCGAGACCACUGGGGAACUCCCUGAUCGGUCUGCGUCUCCCUACACCCAGGCAACAUCCUUGGCCUGACCAUUCUCUGCCACCAGCCUCGAGAGGAGCGACCUGAGCCCCGGGCCUAGCACUGGAGGGACCCGGGUCGAGGAGGACCAUUGCUACGUUCCAUUCCUGGAGACUUCUAAUAGCCAGACUGUGAGGUGGGACAGAUUUCUAAGGCUCUCCUGGCCAGACAGGGCUUCUCCCAGCGCUCAUGAGGAACUGAGCCCGGACUGGUGUUUGGAAGAACAAGUCAUAGCACCGAUCUCGUCCAGCACAGACUUGCCCCUGCCCCCACUCCCAAACCUACUCUCUCCUGUUUCGUUCCUCCAAGAACCCACAGUUCACAAACAGUGCACCUGCCGGAGGUCCCAACCCAGCGGGAGAAGUGGACAUGAGGUUGGCAGGCCCCCUGCGCAUCGUGGCCCUAAUCAUCGUUAUGGGUCUCACCUGGAUCCUAGUCACCAUCCUCCUAGGUGGUCCUGGUGUUGGCCUUCCUCGAAUUCAGCAAU